rnacentral:rRNA from 1 species
UACGUAGGGGGCAAGCGUUGUCCGGAAUCAUUGGGCGUAAAGAGCGUGUAGGCGGUCCGGUAAGUCGGUUGUGAAAGUCCAGGGCUCAACCCUGGGAUGCCGACCGAUACUGUCGGACUAGAGUUCGGAAGAGGCGAGUGGAAUUCCCGGUGUAGCGGUGAAAUGCGCAGAUAUCGGGAGGAACACCUAUGGCGAAGGCAGCUCGCUGGGACGUUACUGACGCUGAGACGCGAAAGCCAGGGGAGCAAACGGG